CAGGAUGCCAGGUCUGUAUGUGUUUCAUGGGAAGCCUGUGUUUGCAUGUGUUUUGUUCCAGGGAGGUCAGUGUGUUUGUACUCUGUUUCCUGGGAUGCCAGGGUCUGAAAAGGUGUUGUUUCCUGAGAGGCCAGUGUGCACAUGCUUAUGUUUUUAUUUCUGGGAGGUUGGGACCUGUGUAGGCUGUUUCCUUGGAGGCCAGGGUCUGGUGUGUGUGGUUUCUUGGGAGGUCGGGGUGUCCAUGUGUUCUAUUUCCUGGGAGGCCAGAAUCCGUGUGUGUUGAUUCCUAGGAAGGUAGGGUCUUCAUGUGUUGUUUCCUGGGAGGCCAGUGGUGUGUGUGUGCUGUUUCCUGGGAGGCCAGAAUCUCUGUGUGUGCUUUCCUUUGAAGCCAAGGUCCGCAUGGGUUUUGUUUCUGGAAAAGUCAGGGUCUGCAUGUUUUGCUCCCUAGGAAGCCAGAGUCCGUGUGAGUCAUUUGGGCAGUCAGGGUCUAUGUGUGUUUUGACUUCUGGGAAACCUGAGUCUGUGUGUGUAGUUUCCUGGGUUACUAGAGUCUGCAAUUGUGUUUCUUUUGAGCCAGCUUCUGCCUGUGUUUUGUAUCCUGGGAGGUCAGGGGCUAUGUGUGUGGAUGCUAGUGUGUGUGUGUGUGUGUGUGUGUGUGUGUAAUGUUUCCUGGGAGGUCUGGGUCUGUGUGUGUGUGUGUGUGUGUGUGUAAUGUUUUCUGGGAGGUCUAGGUCUGUGUGUAUUAUUCCCAGGGAUGACAGGGUCUGAGCUUGUGGAUUUCUCUUCUUAAGUUAGCAUCCACGUGUGCAUUGUAUACCAACAGGAAAUAAAUAAUAUGUUGAUUGUAACA
rnacentral:lncRNA from 1 species